rnacentral:rRNA from 1 species
GAUGAACGCUGGCGGCGUGCCUAAUACAUGCAAGUCGAGCGAACGGACGAGAAGCUUGCUUCUCUGAUGUUAGCGGCGGACGGGUGAGUAACACGUGGAUAACCUACCUAUAAGACUGGGAUAACUUCGGGAAACCGUAGCUAAUACCGGAUAAUAUUUUGAACCGCAUGGUUCAAAAGUGAAAGACGGUCUUGCUGUCACUUAUAGAUGGAUCCGCGCUGCAUUAGCUAGUUGGUAAGGUAACGGCUUACCAAGGCAACGAUGCAUAGCCGACCUGAGAGGGUGAUCGGCCACACUGGAACUGAGACACGGUCCAGACUCCUACGGGAGGCAGCAGUAGGGAAUCUUCCGCAAUGGGCGAAAGCCUGACGGAGCAACGCCGCGUGAGUGAUGAAGGUCUUCGGAUCGUAAAACUCUGUUAGUAGGGAAGAACAGAUGUGUAAGUAACUGUGCACAUCUUGACGGUACCUAAUCAGAAAGCCACGGCUAACUACGUG